AAAGAGCGUUAGCGUUAGUACGGCGAGUGAAGCGGCAAAAGCUCAAUUUGAAAACGCUUCGGCGUGUUGUAAGUAAAGUGGUUAGACGCUUUUUAAUAAGUCCCUUGGAACAGGGCGCCAUAGAGGGUGAUAGCCCCGUAUUAAAUUGUCUAGUGUGCUACUUUAGAGCGAGUCGAGUUGUUUGGGAAUGCAGCUCAAAUAGGUGGUAAACUCCAUCUAAAGCUAAAUAUUGCUGGGAGACCGAUAGCGAACAAGUACAGUGAUGGAAAGAUGAAAAGCACUUUGAAAAGAGAGUGAAAUAGCGUGUGAAAUUGUUGGAGGGGAAGGCGAUGGUAGGAAUAAGAGGCUGCGGUUUGAAAUAAUUGUUUUUCGGGCCACGGUCUCCUGAGCCUGCUUUCGCACCCGUCUUGAAACACGGACCAAUGCUCGGCUUAUUGAUAUGCCAUAGUGCGAAAAAAAGGGGGGAAGAGUGCAGCGGGUAU
rnacentral:rRNA from 1 species